CCUACGGGUGGCAGCAGUCGAGAAUCAUUCACAAUGGGGGAAACCCUGAUGGUGCGACGCCGCGUGGGGGAAUGAAGGUCUUCGGAUUGUAAACCCCUGUCAUGUGGGAGCAAAUUAAAAAGAUAGUACCACAAGAGGAAGAGACGGCUAACUCUGUGCCAGCAGCCGCGGUAAUACAGAGGUCUCAAGCGUUGUUCGGAAUCACUGGGCGUAAAGCGUGCGUAGGCUGUUUCGUAAGUCGUGUGUGAAAGGGGCGGGCUCAACCCGCGGACGGCACCUGAUACUGCGAGACUAGAGUAAUGGAGGGGGAACCGGAAUUCGCGGUGUAGCAGUGAAAUGCGUAGAUAUCGAGAGGAACACUCGUGGCGAAGGCGGGUUCCUGGACAUUAACUGACGCUGAGGCACGAAGGCCAGGGGAGCGAAAGGGAUUAGAUACCCCAGUAGUC
rnacentral:rRNA from 1 species